rnacentral:rRNA from 1 species
UACGUAGGGGGCAAGCGUUAUCCGGAUUUACUGGGUGUAAAGGGAGCGUAGACGGCGGUGCAAGCCAGAUGUGAAAGCCAGGGGCUCAACCCCGGGACUGCAUUUGGAACUGUGCUGCUAGAGUGUCGGAGAGGCAGGCGGAAUUCCUAGUGUAGCGGUGAAAUGCGUAGAUAUUAGGAGGAACACCAGUGGCGAAGGCGGCCUGCUGGACGAUGACUGACGUUGAGGCUCGAAAGCGUGGGGAGCAAACAGG